AUGGAAUUUAAUUAAAUUCCACAAAAUUGUGUUUUGGGAUUGAACCAAAUAAGCUCUACAUUUGACAAAGAGUUUAUGUAGCAUAUACUGGGGAUAAAAUGAGACAAUGUUGCUUAAGAUCAUUUGGUUAUGUUCAACGUAGAGGAUCAAAGGCUCCUGUACGGAAAUAUGAUAAAUUAGUAGUGGAAGAAGUAAGGAGAAAAAGGGAGAGACCUAAAAUGACAUGGAUGGAAAUAGUUUCAAAAGAUUUACAGUCCUUGAAUAUUGAUGUAGAACUGGUCUCAAACAGAGCUCAAUGGUGAAAAAUGAUUCAAAUAGCCGACCCCAACUAGUUUCAAAAUUUUUUCUAUCCAUAAGUUUCUGAUCCUAUCUUUUUUCUAGGAAGUACAUGUUAGUGUUUAAUGCACCUUUUGCCAAGCACAUGCAUGCACACGACAGAGUUGGAACUCUUUUUCGGCAUUGUAAUCUUCAUCAAAUUUGAUUUAAACAGUUCUAGGUAUUAUGCAGUUUGCUUCUGACAUCUUGUGCUGCAUUUUUUGUUGUGUAAUACAGGAGAAAAUUUCAUACUGUAGU
rnacentral:misc_RNA from 1 species